GGUGCAAGCGUUAAUCGGAAUUACUGGGCGUAAAGCGCACGCAGGCGGUCUGUCAAGUCGGAUGUGAAAUCCCCGGGCUCAACCUGGGAACUGCAUUCGAAACUGGCAGGCUUGAGUCUUGUAGAGGGGGGUAGAAUUCCAGGUGUAGCGGUGAAAUGCGUAGAGAUCUGGAGGAAUACCGGUGGCGAAGGCGGCCCCCUGGACAAAGACUGACGCUCAGGUGCGAAAGCGUGGGGAGCAAACAGGAUUAGAUACCCUGGUAGUCCACGCCGUAAACGAUGUCUACUUGGAGGUUGUGCCCUUGAGGCGUGGCUUCCGGAGCUAACGCGUUAAGUAGACCGCCUGGGGAGUACGGCCGCAAGGUUAAAACUCAAAUGAAUUGACGGGGGCCCGCACAAGCGGUGGAGCAUGUGGUUUAAUUCGAUGCAACGCGAAGAACC
rnacentral:rRNA from 2 species